GCCGCGGCAGCUCAGUAGGGCAAGCGUUAGACUGAAGAUCUAAAAGUCGCUGGUUCGAUCCCGGCUCUUGGCA
rnacentral:tRNA from 1 species